UUAAGCGACUAAGCGUACACGGUGGAUGCCCUGGCAGUCAGAGGCGAUGAAGGACGUGCUAAUCUGCGAUAAGCGUCGGUAAGGUGAUAUGAACCGUUAUAACCGGCGAUUUCCGAAUGGGGAAACCCAGUGUGUUUCGACACACUAUCAUUAACUGAAUCCAUAGGUUAAUGAGGCGAACCGGGGGAACUGAAACAUCUAAGUACCCCGAGGAAAAGAAAUCAACCGAGAUUCCCCCAGUAGCGGCGAGCGAACGGGGAGCAGCCCAGAGCCUGAAUCAGUGUGUGUGUUAGUGGAAGCGUCUGGAAAGGCGCGCGAUACAGGGUGACAGCCCCGUACACAAAAAUGCACAUACUGUGAGCUCGAUGAGUAGGGCGGGACACGUGGUAUCCUGUCUGAAUAUGGGGGGACCAUCCUCCAAGGCUAAAUACUCCUGACUGACCGAUAGUGAACCAGUACCGUGAGGGAAAGGCGAAAAGAACCCCGGCGAGGGGAGUGAAAAAGAACCUGAAACCGUGUACGUACAAGCAGUGGGAGCCUCUUAAUGGGGUGACUGCGUACCUUUUGUAUAAUGGGUCAGCGACUUAUAUUCUGUAGCAAGGUUAACCGAAUAGGGGAGCCGAAGGGAAACCGAGUCUUAACUGGGCGUUAAGUUGCAGGGUAUAGACCCGAAACCCGGUGAUCUAGCCAUGGGCAGGUUGAAGGUUGGGUAACACUAACUGGAGGACCGAACCGACUAAUGUUGAAAAAUUAGCGGAUGACUUGUGGCUGGGGGUGAAAGGCCAAUCAAACCGGGAGAUAGCUGGUUCUCCCCGAAAGCUAUUUAGGUAGCGCCUCGUGAAUUCAUCUCCGGGGGUAGAGCACUGUUUCGGCAAGGGGGUCAUCCCGACUUACCAACCCGAUGCAAACUGCGAAUACCGGAGAAUGUUAUCACGGGAGACACACGGCGGGUGCUAACGUCCGUCGUGAAGAGGGAAACAACCCAGACCGCCAGCUAAGGUCCCAAAGUCAUGGUUAAGUGGGAAACGAUGUGGGAAGGCCCAGACAGCCAGGAUGUUGGCUUAGAAGCAGCCAUCAUUUAAAGAAAGCGUAAUAGCUCACUGGUCGAGUCGGCCUGCGCGGAAGAUGUAACGGGGCUAAACCAUGCACCGAAGCUGCGGCAGCGACACUAUGUGUUGUUGGGUAGGGGAGCGUUCUGUAAGCCUGUGAAGGUGUACUGUGAGGUAUGCUGGAGGUAUCAGAAGUGCGAAUGCUGACAUAAGUAACGAUAAAGCGGGUGAAAAGCCCGCUCGCCGGAAGACCAAGGGUUCCUGUCCAACGUUAAUCGGGGCAGGGUGAGUCGACCCCUAAGGCGAGGCCGAAAGGCGUAGUCGAUGGGAAACAGGUUAAUAUUCCUGUACUUGGUGUUACUGCGAAGGGGGGACGGAGAAGGCUAUGUUGGCCGGGCGACGGUUGUCCCGGUUUAAGCGUGUAGGCUGGUUUUCCAGGCAAAUCCGGAAAAUCAAGGCUGAGGCGUGAUGACGAGGCACUACGGUGCUGAAGCAACAAAUGCCCUGCUUCCAGGAAAAGCCUCUAAGCAUCAGGUAACAUCAAAUCGUACCCCAAACCGACACAGGUGGUCAGGUAGAGAAUACCAAGGCGCUUGAGAGAACUCGGGUGAAGGAACUAGGCAAAAUGGUGCCGUAACUUCGGGAGAAGGCACGCUGAUAUGUAGGUGAAGUCCCUUGCGGAUGGAGCUGAAAUCAGUCGAAGAUACCAGCUGGCUGCAACUGUUUAUUAAAAACACAGCACUGUGCAAACACGAAAGUGGACGUAUACGGUGUGACGCCUGCCCGGUGCCGGAAGGUUAAUUGAUGGGGUUAGCGGUAACGCGAAGCUCUUGAUCGAAGCCCCGGUAAACGGCGGCCGUAACUAUAACGGUCCUAAGGUAGCGAAAUUCCUUGUCGGGUAAGUUCCGACCUGCACGAAUGGCGUAAUGAUGGCCAGGCUGUCUCCACCCGAGACUCAGUGAAAUUGAACUCGCUGUGAAGAUGCAGUGUACCCGCGGCAAGACGGAAAGACCCCGUGAACCUUUACUAUAGCUUGACACUGAACAUUGAGCCUUGAUGUGUAGGAUAGGUGGGAGGCUUUGAAGUGUGGACGCCAGUCUGCAUGGAGCCGGCCUUGAAAUACCACCCUUUAAUGUUUGAUGUUCUAACGUUGGCCCCUGAUCGGGGUUGCGGACAGUGUCUGGUGGGUAGUUUGACUGGGGCGGUCUCCUCCUAAAGAGUAACGGAGGAGCACGAAGGUUGGCUAAUCCUGGUCGGACAUCAGGAGGUUAGUGCAAUGGCAUAAGCCAGCUUGACUGCGAGCGUGACGGCGCGAGCAGGUGCGAAAGCAGGUCAUAGUGAUCCGGUGGUUCUGAAUGGAAGGGCCAUCGCUCAACGGAUAAAAGGUACUCCGGGGAUAACAGGCUGAUACCGCCCAAGAGUUCAUAUCGACGGCGGUGUUUGGCACCUCGAUGUCGGCUCAUCACAUCCUGGGGCUGAAGUAGGUCCCAAGGGUAUGGCUGUUCGCCAUUUAAAGUGGUACGCGAGCUGGGUUUAGAACGUCGUGAGACAGUUCGGUCCCUAUCUGCCGUGGGCGCUGGAGAACUGAGGGGGGCUGCUCCUAGUACGAGAGGACCGGAGUGGACGCAUCACUGGUGUUCGGGUUGUCAUGCCAAUGGCACUGCCCGGUAGCUAAAUGCGGAAGAGAUAAGUGCUGAAAGCAUCUAAGCACGAAACUUGCCCCGAGAUGAGUUCUCCCUGACUCUUUAAGGGUCCUGAAGGAACGUUGAAGACGACGACGUUGAUAGGCCGGGUGUGUAAGCGCAGCGAUGCGUUGAGCUAACCGGUACUAAUGAACCGUGAGGCUUAACCUU
rnacentral:rRNA from 9 species